rnacentral:rRNA from 1 species
AGUGAACGCUGGCGGUAGGCCUAACACAUGCAAGUCGAACGGCAGCACAGUAAGAGCUUGCUCUUACGGGUGGCGAGUGGCGGACGGGUGAGGAAUACAUCGGAAUCUACUUUUUCGGGGGGGAUAACGUAGGGAAACUUACGCUAAUACCGCAUACGACCUACGGGUGAAAGCAGGGGAUCUUCGGACCUUGCGCGAUUGAAUGAGCCGAUGUCGGAUUAGCUAGUUGGCGGGGUAAAGGCCCACCAAGGCGACGAUCCGUAGCUGGUCUGAGAGGAUGAUCAGCCACACUGGAACUGAGACAUGGUCCAGACUCCUACGGGAGGCAGCAGUGGGGAAUAUUGGACAAUGGGCGCAAGCCUGAUCCAGCCAUACCGCGUGGGUGAAGAAGGCCUUCGGGUUGUAAAGCCCUUUUGUUGGGAAAGAAAAGCAGCAGGUUAAUACCCCGCUGUUCUGACGGUACCCAAAGAAUAAGCACCGGCUAACUUCGUG